AAAACUUUAGGAGCAAAUAACCAAUGAUGUAAAGUGACAAGAUGUAUAAAUUAUGGAAAGGCUAUGGAUAGUAUGAUAGAAAGUAAAAUCAUUUAUUUUACUUGUAUAGUUGCAUGGUUUCAUAUUGCAUAUUGCGAGGCAUGACAUGUAGUUCAAUAUCCAAUAAAUGUUUAAGUAUUUGUUAUAUGUUAUUGGACUAACCUGUUGCAGUACCUCAUUAGACCUAUUGGUUGAGCUUUUCCCUUGGGUGGCCGUAC
rnacentral:lncRNA from 1 species